GUUAAUUCGAUGCAACGCGAAGAACCUUACCUGGUCUUGACAUCCACGGAAGUUUUCAGAGAUGAGAAUGUGCCUUCGGGAACCGUGAGACAGGUGCUGCAUGGCUGUCGUCAGCUCGUGUUGUGAAAUGUUGGGUUAAGUCCCGCAACGAGCGCAACCCUUAUCCUUUGUUGCCAGCGGUCCGGCCGGGAACUCAAAGGAGACUGCCAGUGAUAAACUGGAGGAAGGUGGGGAUGACGUCAAGUCAUCAUGGCCCUUACGACCAGGGCUACACACGUGCUACAAUGGCGCAUACAAAGAGAAGCGACCUCGCAGAGCAAGCGGACCUCAUAAAGUGCGUCGUAGUCCGGAUUGGAGUCUGCACUCGACUCCAUGAAGUCGGAAUCGCUAGUAAUCGUGGAUCGAAUGCCA
rnacentral:rRNA from 1 species